UACGGGAGGCAGCAGUGGGGAAUAUUGCACAAUGGGCGCAAGCCUGAUGCAGCCAUGCCGCGUGUAUGAAAAAGGCCUUCGGGUUGUAAAGUACUUUCAGUCGUGAGGAAGGUGUUAAGGUUAAUAACCUUAGCAAUUGACGUUAGCGACAGAAGAAGCACCGGCUAACUCCGUGCCAGCAGCCGCGGUAAUACGGAGGGUGCGAGCGUUAAUCGGAAUUACUGGGCGUAAAGGGCACGCAGGCGGUUAAUUAAGUUGGAUGUGAAAUCCCCGGGCUUAACCUGGGAAUGGCAUUCAAGACUGGUUAGCUAGAGUCUUGUAGAGGGGGGUUAGAAUUCCAUGUGUAGCGGUGAAAUGCGUAGAGAUGUGGAGGAAUACCGGUGGCGAAGGCGGCCCCUGGACAAAGGACUGACGCUCAUGUGCGAAAGCGUGGGGAGCAAACAGGGAUUAGAUACCC
rnacentral:rRNA from 1 species